GCAUGUCUAAGUACAAGCCAUAUUAUGGUGAAACCGCGAAUGGCUCAUUAAAUCACACCUAAUCUACUGGAAUGUUAGCAGUUACUUGGAUAACUGAGGUAAUUCUUGAGCUAAUACAUGCGAAAAAUCCCGACUCACGAAGGGAUGCUUUUAUUAGAUCAAAACCAAACAGCUUCGGCUGUAACACUGGUGACUCUGAAUAACUUUGGGCUGAUCGCAUUGCCUUGAGCAGGCGACAUUUCCUUCGAAGGUGUGCCCUAUCAACUGUCGACUGUGAUAUAGACGCUCACAGUGGUUUUGACGGGUAACGGGGAAUCAGGGUUCGAUUCCGGAGAGGGAGCCUUAAAAACGGCUACCACAUCCAAGGAAGGCAGCAGGCACGCAAAUUACCCAAUGAACGAAGUUCGAGGUAGUGACGAAAAAUAACAAUACAAGACUCAUCCGAGGCCUUGUAAUUGGAAUGAGUACACUUUAAAACCGUUUCACGAGGAUCUAUUGGAGGGCAAGUCUGGUGCCAGCAGCCGCGGUAAUUCCGGCUCCAAUAGCGUAUAUUAAAGUUGUUGCGGUUAAAAAGCUCGUAGUUGGAUUUCUGCCGAGGACGACCGGUCCGCCCUCUGGGUGAGUAUCUGGCUCGGCCUGGGCAUCUUCUUGGAGAACGUAACUGCACUUGACUGUGUGGUGCGGUAUCCAGGACUUUUACUUUGAGGGAAUUAGAGUGUUUCAAGCAGGCACACGCCUUGAAUACAUUAGCAUGGAAUAAUAAUAUAGGACCU
rnacentral:rRNA from 1 species